CGCGCGCGGUGAUGUCAUGCGCGGCAACCGCAGCGGCGCCCGUGAGGGCCGCAGGGGCGCUCCCGUCUGUCCGCUCCGCAGAGGCACGGUGGCGGCUGGUGGCGAGGCGAGGCGCGGAGCGGGGUGGGGUGCUCGUUCUCACAGCCCCUCACAGGGCGGGUGAGGUCUCCCCGCAGCUGUAAUAGCAGCCCUAGCUAGGCCUGUGGGCUAGCGGCUCAGGUGCUGCUGCUCAGCGUAUGUAAGGCCUCCUGAUGCCUAACAGGAGAGCAGAAAAAGCUCAGCCUUUGCUGAGCUCUCUUUAUACUAAAGAAAUCACAAGUGUUGCAGCUGUUUGGUCUGCUGUGGAUAAAAGCCAGUAGUUCAGCAAGCACCUCUGUUAAUUCCAGAGAGGCAGUCCAGGAUGACAGACUCUACAGAGCGAAAUGUACUGGAGACCUACCAACUUCUGCUGCAGCUAGUCUGAGGAAAAAGGGCUACUAAACUCUAACAGGAAACUCAGCAGCAGGAAAACAGUGGUUGGAAAGAACUUGAAGAUGCAGAAGGAAGUGUGGUGACAGAUGCCUUGGGGAAGGUAGUUACUCAAAGUAUCAAAAUGUCAUUCCUGUGGCUCACACUAGAGAGCACAAGUUGUAAGUGUGGACUGUUACUUGCUGCCUGGUGAAUGCAGGGCAAAGUAAGUCUCCCUCUCAGUUAUUCCAGAUGUUUGUGCUGUAGGAAGCAUAUACUGCUAAAAAAAGGGAGAUUUUCUCAUACAACUGUUUGAACUACACUUGUCUGUGUAAAUAACAGCAGAAGGAACAGCUGCUAGCACUCGAGAAAUUAUGUGCUAGACUUUUCCCAUGCCUUGCUAAGGCUUUUUGUGUGAGUGGCAGCAGCCACUUUAUGACAUCUCUCUAAUACUGUCAGUUGUCUUGUGCAACGUGCACUCCCCAAAGGCUUGUGUGGAGCAGGAAGGAAAAGAUGGGCUCUCUCUUUUUUCCUACCACAAGGAAUCUGUUCCCCAGGGAGCAGGACAAGAUGUAGGCAAUGUCUGCACCAGCGCCUGCGUGGAUUGUAUAAGGCAUGGGGGACCAAUGAAUGACUAUACAAAACUGACAGCUUUCCCUGCGUAAUAAAUGCCAUGACUGGUUCUGUGACACUACCACUAUUAAUUUGUAGUGGCCAGAUGUUUGUAAUGGAGAUUAACCAUGUUAUUACUGUACAUGCUAUAUGACAGGCUCAGCGCCACUCUGCCCUGCAAAUUCUGAAGUGAUACACAAGUGGAAGAGCGUGGCUGAAUAUCUUCCAGAGGCACUGUCUGAAUCACUGGCGUCAUUUGGAAAUGAAAUAGCUCAUCUUUCAUUUGCCAAAUCCACAUGUUUACAAUUGCAGAGUUCAGAGAUUUGGUUGCAGGCCAUCUUCAGCUACAUCCUGAUAUAGUACUUACAGAAAGCAAUACAGAUCUUCAGACAAACAGUCACAAGGACUACAGCUCAGUAUUGGCUGGCAUGUUGGUGGUUUCAUGAUGAUACUGGAUGUAUCAUCAGUUGCAUCAGGAAAUCGCCUGUGAAUAGUUCAGAUGUCAUGUGUCUUCUGCAAAUGGUUGCAGUCAUUUCCGGUGGGGUAAUGUAAUGAGGAUAGAGGUGACAGUGUUUCAAGAGCAUGUCACAUGUCCAGGUGUUACUUAUUAAUUUGACUGGCAAACAGCCCUAUGUUUUUUUAACGCUGUGCAUUCUAUCUUCAGUAGCAAGCCUACCUGCCAAAUGUAACUUGGAGACUUUGAAAUAUAGCAACCUGUUAUUUUUCCUAACUACCUUCAUUACCAUUGUUUAGAUACCGAGUCCUAAGAAAACCUAAGUGCUAGAUUAAAAAAUAAAUAAAUAAAUGCAUAAUCCU